AGCAGCCGCGGUAAUUCCAGCUCCAAUAGCGUAUAUUAAAGUUGUUGCAGUUAAAAAGCUCGUAGUUGAAUUUCGGGGUUAGCAGGUCGGUCGUGCCAUUGGUAUGAACUGGUCUCGCUGAUCCCUCCCUCUUGACGAACUGUGAUGCCAUUAAUUUGGUGUCGCAGGGAAUCAGGACUGUUACUUUGAAAAAAUUAGAGUGUUUAAAGCAGGCUCACGCUUGAAUACAUUAGCAUGGAAUAAUGAAAUAGGACGUUUGAUCCUAUUUUGUUGGCUUCUAGGAUUGACGUAAUGAUUAAUAGGGAUAGUUGGGGGCAUUAGUAUUCAAUUGUCAGAGGUGAAAUUCUUGGAUUUAUUGAAGACUAACUACUGCGAAAGCAUUUGCCAAGGAUGUUUUCAUUAAUCAAGAACGAAAGUUAGGGGAUCGAAGACGAUCAGAUACCGUCGUAGUCUUAACCAUAAACUAUGCCGACUAGGGAUCGGAUGAUGUUAAUUUUUUAAUGACUCAUUCGGCGCCUUA
rnacentral:misc_RNA from 1 species